UACAGAGGUGGCAAGCGUUUUUCGGAAUUACUGGGUGUAAAGGGCGCGUAGGCGGCCUGUUAAGUCCCGUGUGAAAUCCCUCGGCUCAACCGAGGAACUGCACGGGAAACUGGCGGGCUUGAGGUCGGGAGAGGGAAGCGGAAUUCCGGGUGUAGCGGUGAAAUGCGUAGAUAACCGGAGGAACACCGGUGGCGAAGGCGGCUUCCUGGACCGACACUGACGCUGAGGCGCGAAAGCUAGGGGAGCAAACGGG
rnacentral:rRNA from 1 species